AGUCUAGGCCAUACACCCUGAACAUGCCCCCAUCUCUUCUGAUCUUGGAAGCUAAACAGGGUUGGGCCUGGUUAGUACUUGGAUGGGAGAGGAAACUAGAGUUUUCAUUA
ensembl:rRNA 5S_rRNA 5S ribosomal RNA